rnacentral:rRNA from 1 species
GACGAACGCUGGCGGCGUGCCUAAUACAUGCAAGUAGAACGCUGAAGGAGGAGCUUGCUUCUCUGGAUGAGUUGCGAACGGGUGAGUAACGCGUAGGUAACCUGCCUGGUAGCGGGGGAUAACUAUUGGAAACGAUAGCUAAUACCGCAUAAGAGUAGAUGUUGCAUGACAUAUGCUUAAAAGGUGCAAUUGCAUCACUACCAGAUGGACCUGCGUUGUAUUAGCUAGUUGGUGAGGUAACGGCUCACCAAGGCAACGAUACAUAGCCGACCUGAGAGGGUGAUCGGCCACACUGGGACUGAGACACGGCCCAGACUCCUACGGGAGGCAGCAGUAGGGAAUCUUCGGCAAUGGACGGAAGUCUGACCGAGCAACGCCGCGUGAGUGAAGAAGGUUUUCGGAUCGUAAAGCUCUGUUGUAAAGAGAAAGAAACGAGUGU